GAUCGCGGUAACGCCGGUACUCUCUGUUGAUUUCUCCCUCGUUAAUCCAUGAGAAUUUUCUUUUCGUAAAUUCUCAUUUCUUUGAUAGAUGAUCGCGGUAAUAAAAGUUAUUCGAAAUUCGUGAGUUUAUAUUAUAAUCUCGUUCGAUCGUGAAUAGUGUGAUAGAUCAAGUGAUCGCUUUAUUCUAUUUCAGUGUUAUUUCGACGAUAUAUAAAAGAAAAGAGAAAAAUAAACUGUACGUUUAUCGUUGACAUUGAAAUAAAAGAAUCUUCGAUAGAAAGAGAGAAAGGGAGAAAAAAAAGAAGGAGAGAAAGAGAAACAAAAAGAAAAAGAGAGUGAGAGAGAGAAAGAGAAAAAAGAAAAAAGGAAAAAGUGAAAAAUAUAUUAUAUUUUGGAAAGCAUCAAGUAUAAGUGUCUCAAAAGAAAGUGAUAAUUUAAAGGGGAGUGAGAGUUUUAGUUCGUUCUCAAGGUCAACCUCUUCUUCCUUAUCUCCUCGUUCGCAUACUCGACAGAAUAUAUACUUAUUUCGAACUUACUCUUUCGUUAAGAUAUUGUUUUACAGUUCGUAAAUCUCAAAUAACAAUUACACAUCGUCGAACGUACACGUGGAUGCAUAUAAUACGUACAUAUAUUAAAGUUCGCAAAGUGUUAAUGAAAGGAAAAGAAAAAAAGAAAGAAUAAAUAAGAGAAAAAAGAAA